ACGAAGGGUGCAAGCGUUAUUCGGAGUUACUGGGCGUAAAGAGUAUGUAGGCGGUUUGUUAAGUUAGUUGUUAAAGACCACGGCUCAACCGUGGAAAGGCAGCUGAUACUGAUGAGCUAGAGCGCAGAAGAGAGGAGUGGAAUUCCCGGAGUAGCGGUAAAAUGCGUAGAUCUCGGGAGGAACACCGGUUGCGAAGGCGGCUUCUUGGUCUGUGGCUGACGCUAAAGUACGAAAGCGUGGGGAGCAAACAG
rnacentral:rRNA from 1 species